GGGGGAGGAGGAGGAGGAAGAGGUGAAGGAGGAGAAAGAAGAGGAAGAGGAAGAGGAAGAGGAGGAGGAGGAGGAGGUGAAGGAGGAGGAGGAGGGGGAGGAGGAAAUAGGACAGAGAAGUCAGUCAGUAAAAGGGUUCGGGCUACAGCAUCAAUGUAUAUAAGUCAGUUUUACUGAUCUAUCUCAAUACCUUGCGAUAAGAAACUUUUAAAAAAAGGUUGUGACAGGCAGUAUUUUGAAGAUCUAAACACUAAAAACUACUGAGGAAAUUAAAAGGGGCAUAACUGGUUAAAGAAUCCAUUCCUGUAGAAGGCACAGCCUAGAGUAAGCCUUGGAGACACCAUAAUUAUUGAGCAUGAAGGUUUGUCGGCCUUCUUCAACUGAAGGAGGAGCGAUGCCUGGCCGUAGGGUUAAGCCACCUGGUGAUCCUUUGCUAUUCUAUUAGGGGCCAACCUCCACCUGAAUUUCCCCAAAUCCUGAAAAUUGUUUAGGCCCUAAUCCUGGUCUCUCUCUCUCUCUCUCUCUCUCUCUCUCUCUCUCUCUCUCUCUCUCUCUCUCUCUCUCUCUCUUAUCCCCCCUCUCUGUCUGUCUGUCUUUCACUUUCUCUGUUCCUCCUCUGCCUCUCUCUGUAUGCCUCUCUGUCUCUGUGUGUCUCUCUUCUGUUCCCUCUCACUCUCUCACUAUGUCUUUGUCUCUCUGUGUAUCUCUCUGUCUCUGCCUGUUCUCCCCCCUCCUCCUCCUCCUCCUCCUCCUCCUCUUCCUCCUCCUCCUCCCUCUCUCUCUCUCUCUCUCUCUCUCUCUCUCUCUCUCUCUCUCUCUCUCUCUCUCUCCUCUUAAAUUUAUUAUUUUUCUUUACACUCUGUUUCUGCACUUAAAGGCCCGCUGCCAGCCCAGCACUUGCUGAACAUCAGGAAUGAUUUUAGGCGAUAAUGAGGUGUCAGUGCAGAUUGACUGCAGGAAAAGCUAACACCAUCAUAGAGAACAUGGGAAGGACAUUGAUAAUGUCAGCGGGGGAACCGGGCAUAUGAGAAAUCUCUGUACUUUCAAUUUUGUUCUAAACCUAAAACUGCUCUAAAAACUUGAAGUCUUUAAAACAAACAAAUAAAGCCCUAAUUACCUCGGAUAUGUUAGUGGACUGCUCUAAAUCUCGAUUUCUUCACUCAAUCAGAUCAAGGCAAUGAUGUCUCCCUGAGCAGCAUGGACUACAUGAACUAACACCGAGUGUCUAGGGCACCCCUUGAUUCAUAGAACUAACAGGUAAAAUAAUUAAAGGUAUGAGCUGGGAUCUGGAGAUUUCAGUGAAUCACUCAGUCAGUACCUAUGUGAUUCUGUCCAGGGAAAUCCUCCCUUUCUCCAAGUCCUCGAAGGAUAAGCUAUGUGGUGCGGUUUCAGGAUGACUUGGUGAAAUUCUGGGACUACAUACUCAGUACCCUGCUGGCCAGGAGUCGCCUGCUGUAACUUUGGUACUCCUCCAGCCUGCCUUUCAGUGGCAGCAGAUUGGGCAGCUUAGGCUGUCAUCCACUGUCACCAAGUGCAUUGCAUAAAAGUCCCCACCCCCUCCCCAACAUCAGACUGUACCCUCUGUCUCUAUCUUGUUACUUCCCUCUGUCUGUCUCAAUUUCUCUCUCAUGUCCCCUCCCAGAGCAAGCCUUCCAUUCUCACCAACCCUCCAAUAAACCUCGUGCCCUAGAUCUGUUGCAUGGUCUGUCUCUUAGCGACACACCUUAGCCCCGGACCUGCCAAAGAUAUUUUUAUCCUAGUAGCAACCCCUGAAAAACAGCCAGUGAUAUGGAGUCUCCCCUUGCCUUGCCUUGCCUACGACACUGUUCACCUCAGAAAUCAGCCAGUGGCAUCGGUAAAAUUUAUUCCGUUGGAGGGAUAUGCUUUAGCGUCGCUAAUCUCUAAGAUACUUUAAAUUUAUAGUGAAAUAUUUUUUCUGUGGGAAGUUCUAACGUUUUUCUUCUCCUUCCUUCAAAAGUAUGUGUUUCUCUUCAGAAUACAAGGAGUGUAUGGGAAGUAAACCAAAUACAUUUUGGAGAUAUCAAGUGUCCUGUUGAUACUGAUAAAACAAUACUGGGGAGAGGAUUUUUGACGGAAGAAAAGGAGGAUCUUUGGGGAAUACUAAAAAACACCAGUCAAUCAGACCAACAGUGAGGAGGGACAAAUGACACUUUCCUUCAAUCACACUGAGAAAUCUCUCCUUCAUUUGUAUUUUGAUGCCCGGAAGAAUCAUGGUAAGGACCAUUGGAUAAUUGAGCCUCAUUCUCAGAAGUCUGUAUUUGUUUUUAGACAAUUUCUUAAAGAAGUACAGACACACACAAAGAAACUUGCUUUUCUCUUUUUAUAAUGCAAAGAACAUUUUGGCAGGGCACGGUAGCUCUUAGCUGUAUAGAGGUUCCCAGCAUUUGGAAGGCUGAAGUAGAAGAACUGAUGCCAGGUGGAGGCUAUCCUAGGCUACACAGGUGCUUCUCGGAUCUAUUAACUAAUCUCAGAAAGCCAAGGAAAAUGAACUAUAUGAUGGCUGAGGUUGACAAAAGCAACUUUAAGUCACCAAGAGGCAAAAUGCCAAGUGGCACAUGAGGAACAACCAGCUCCUUGCCAGAGGUGGAAACCGUCCAAAGGAUAAUAUAAUUUUUCCAGUGAAGCAGAGUUCGUGCUAGAGAACCAACUCAACAUUUACCUAGACAGCUGAUGUCACCUCCACCCAGUCACGUUAGUCUUCACCAAAGGAAGAGAAAGACAUUGUAUUGUUCAAUAAAAAAAUAAAGUAAAAA